rnacentral:piRNA from 1 species
UAUGUGUUCUUCAGGUGUCGGAACAUGG